GGGAGGCCCACAGGGGAGGCAGUGUCUGUCAGCCCUCCAGGUCUAGUUUGACCUCACAGGGGAACAGGAGGCCACAGGGGAGGCAGUGUCUGUCAGCCCUCCAGGUCUAGUUUGACCUCACAGGGGAACAGGAGGCCACAGGGGAGGCAGUGUCUGUCAGCCCUCCAGGUCUCGUUUGACCUCACAUCUCCCUGGUUAAAUGGAACUGGACUCGUCACUCGCUGCUUCUCAAUGUUUUAUGGAGUGUCUGUAUGUUAUUAUUUGAUCACAUUUUAAAACUACUUAUGUGUUGAUCUCUAAAUACCCUGUGAACUAUUUUGAUUGAGAAUAAAUAAAAAAUAAUAAAUAGAUUUAUGUCAAA
ensembl:lncRNA